CACGUAGGGCGCGAGCGUUGUCCGGAAUUAUUGGGCGUAAAGAGCUCGUAGGCGGCCUGUUGCGUCCGCUGUGAAAGCCCGGGGCUUAACCCCGGGUCUGCAGUGGAUACGGGCAGGCUAGAGGUAGGUAGGGGAGAAUGGAAUUCCCGGUGUAGCGGUGAAAUGCGCAGAUAUCGGGAGGAACACCAGAGGCGAAGGCGGCGAACUGGACAGCAACUGACACUCAACUGCGAAAGCGUGGGGAGCGAACAGG
rnacentral:rRNA from 1 species